rnacentral:lncRNA from 1 species
AUCCAGCCGCUUGCAUCCUUAUCCCUUCUUCAAAUCCCAGUGAAUCUCCAAUGCCACGGAUUAGCUUCCCGGCAUCUUCAUCUCAACCGUGGACAACAUCCUAUCAUCUCCCAGAUUCAUCCAUAUCCAAUUUCCUCCCACAUUCCACCUUUCACUUGAUUCCUUCCGAACAUCCCAGCUCAUGAAUUCGUUUCCUCUUCCCGUUCGGAAUUGAUUCCAUCUCCACAGGAUAAAAUCAAAUCUCACAAACCUCCAAGCAUCAAAGGAUCAAGUCUUCUCAGCCGUGAGCCAUAUCCUCCCGAAACAUCCGCUCCAAAGCUUGAUCCAAGUUCCUCCCAGCUUCAACCGUGUUCAUCUUCCCAUCGCCUGCUCACUCCCAACCUUUCAUCCACAACGUCUCCUCUCAGCGAAAUAAAUCUAGGAGUUCAUCUUCAUCACCCACCGAACUCAUCCUUAUCUUCUCCACGCCAUUCAUCUAAAACCAAUAUCCAAACGAAAUCCCUUGCUCCCAGCUGCUUCAUUCUUCCGAAGCUUCUGCAUCCCAAACCGCUUCCACCCGUGACAAUUCCUCCCAUGCAUCACGCACUCCGGAUUGACCCCAGCUUCUUCCUCUUGUUCCCAGCAUCUUCCUAACCUCCC